GACGAACGCUGGCGGCGUGCUUAACACAUGCAAGUCGAACGGAAAGGCCCUGCUUUUGUGGGGUGCUCGAGUGGCGAACGCGUGAGUAACACGUGAGUAACCUGCCCUUGACUUUGGGGUAACUUCAGGAAACUGGGGCUAAUACCGGAUAGGAGCUCCUGCUGCAUGGUGGGGGUUGGAAAGUUUCGGCGGUUGGGGAUGGACUCGCGGGUUAUCAGCUUGUUGGUGGGGUAGUGGCUUACCAAGGCUUUGACGGGUAGCCGGCCUGAGAGGGUGACCGGCGACAUUGGGACUGAGAGACGGCCCAGACUCCUACGGGAGGCAGCAGUGGGGAAUAUUGCACAAUGGGCGGAAGCCUGAUGCAGCAACGCCGCGUGCGGGAUGACGGCUUUCGGGUUGUAAACCGCUUUCGCCUGUGACGAAGAGUGAGUGACGGUAAUGGGUAAAGAAGCACCGGCUAACUACGUG
rnacentral:rRNA from 1 species